rnacentral:rRNA from 1 species
UACGUAGGGGACGAGCGUUGUCCGGAAUUACUGGGCGUAAAGGGCGCGCAGGCUGUGCUGCAAGUCAGCUGUGAAAUAUCUGGGCUUAACCUGGAUAUGCGGUUGAGACUGCAGUGCUGGAGUGCUGUAGAGGCAAGUGGAAUUCCCAGUGUAGCGGUGAAAUGCGUAGAUAUUGGGAAGAACACCGGUGGCGAAGGCGACUUGCUGGGCAGCAACUGACGCUGAGGCGCGAAAGCCAGGGGAGCAAACGGGAUUAGAUACCCCGGUAGUCCUGGCCGUAAACGAUGAAUGCUAGGUGUGGGUGUAGAGAUACAUUCGUGCCGGAGUUAACGCGAUAAGCAUUCCGCCUGGGGAGUACGGUCGCAAGAUUGAA